rnacentral:rRNA from 1 species
GAUGAACGCUGGCGGCGUGCCUAGUACAUGCAAGUCGAGCGAACGGACGAGAAGCUUGCUUUUCUGAUGUUAGCGGCGGACGGGUGAGUAACACGUGGAUAACCUACCUAUAAGACUGGGAUAACUUCGGGAAACCGGAGCUAAUACCGGAUAAUAUUUUGAACCGCAUGGUUCAAAAGUGAAAGACGGUCUUGCUGUCACUUAUAGAUGGAUCCGCGCUGCAUUAGCUAGUUGGUAAGGUAACGGCUUACCAAGGCAACGAUGCAUAGCCGACCUGAGAGGGUGAUCGGCCACACUGGAACUGAGACACGGUCCAGAAUCCUACGGGAGGCAGCAGUAGGGAAUCUUCCGCAAUGGGCGAAAGCCUGACGGAGCAACGCCGCGUGAGUGAUGAAGGUAUUCGGAUCGUAAAACUCUGUUAUUAGGGAAGAACAUAUGUGUAAGUAAAUGUGCACAUCUUGACGGUACCUAAUCAGAAAGACAAGGCUAACUACGUG